GAUGAUACGUAGCCGAACUGAGAGGUUGAUCGGCCACAUUGGGACUGAGACACGGCCCAAACUCCUACGGGAGGCAGCAGUAGGGAAUCUUCCACAAUGGACGAAAGUCUGAUGGAGCAACGCCGCGUGAAUGAAGAAGGCCUUCGGGUCGUAAAAUUCUGUUGUCAGAGAAGAAUGUGCGUGAGAGUAACUGUUCACGUAUUGACGGUAUCUGACCAGAAAGCCACGGCUAACUACGUGCCAGCAGCCGCGGUAAUACGUAGGUGGCAAGCGUUGUCCGGAUUUAUUGGGCGUAAAGGGAACGCAGGCGGUCUUUUAAGUCUGAUGUGAAAGCCUUCGGCUUAACCGAAGUAGUGCAUUGGAAACUGGAAGACUUGAGUGCAGAAGAGGAGAGUGGAACUCCAUGUGUAGCGGUGAAAUGCGUAGAUAUAUGGAAGAACACCAGUGGCGAAAGCGGCUCUCUGGUCUGUAACUGACGCUGAGGUUCGAAAGCGUGGGUAGCAAACAGGAUUAGAUACCCUGGUAGUCCACGCCGUAAACGAUGAGUGCUAAGUGUUGGAGGGCUUCCGCCCUUCAGUGCUGCAGCUAACGCAUUAAGCACUCCGCCUGGGGAGUACGGUCGCAAGACUGAUACUCAAAGGAAUUGACGGGGGCCCGCACAAGCGGUGGAGCAUGUGGUUUAAUUCGAAGCAACGCGAAGAACCUUACCAGGUCUUGACAUCUUCUGACAAUUCCAGAGAUGGAACGUUCCCUUCGGGGACAGAAUGACAGGUGGUGCAUGGUUGUCGUCAGCUCGUGUCGUGAGAUGUUGGGUUAAGUCCCGCAACGAGCGCAACCCUUAUUGUCAGUUGCCAUCAUUAAGUUGGGCACUCUGGCGAGACUGCCGGUGACAAACCGGAGGAAGGUGGGGAUGACGUCAAAUCAUCAUGCCCCUUAUGACCUGGGCUACACACGUGCUACAAUGGACGGUACAACGAGUCGCUAACUCGCGAGGGCAAGCUAAUCUCUUAAAGCCGUUCUCAGUUCGGAUUGCAGGCUGCAACUCGCCUGCAUGAAGUCGGAAUCGCUAGUAAUCGCGAAUCAGCAUGCCGCGGUGAAUACGUUCCCGGGCCUUGUACACACCGCCCGUCACACCAUGAGAGUUUGUAACACCCAAAGUCGGUGGGGUAACCUUUUGGAGCCAGCCGCCUAAGGUGGGACAGAUGAUUGGGGUGAAGUCGUAACAAGGUA
rnacentral:rRNA from 1 species